rnacentral:rRNA from 1 species
GAUGAACGCUGGCGGCGUGCUUAACACAUGCAAGUCGAACGGUGAAGGCGGAGCUUGCUCUGCUGGAUCAGUGGCGAACGGGUGAGUAACACGUGAGCAAUCUGCCCCUGACUCUGGAUAAGCGCUGGAAACGGCGUCUAAUACUGGAUACGAGCUGCGAAGGCAUCUUCAGCAGCUGGAAAGAACUUCGGUCAGGGAUGAGCUCGCGGCCUAUCAGCUUGUUGGUGAGGUAACGGCUCACCAAGGCGUCGACGGGUAGCCGGCCUGAGAGGGUGACCGGCCACACUGGGACUGAGACACGGCCCAGACUCCUACGGGAGGCAGCAGUGGGGAAUAUUGCACAAUGGGCGAAAGCCUGAUGCAGCAACGCCGCGUGAGGGACGACGGCCUUCGGGUUGUAAACCUCUUUUAGCAGGGAAGAAGCGAAAGUGACGGUACCUGCAGAAAAAGCGCCGGCUAACUACGUG